rnacentral:tRNA from 1 species
GCCCUCGUAGUUCAACGGAUAGAACAGUUCCGUCCUAAGGAAACAAUGGGGGUUCAAUUCCCUCCGAGGGUA